AUACCUUUCUCGGUCUUUUGGCUAAGAUUAAGUGUAGUAUCUGUUCUUAUCAGUUUAAUAUUUGAUGCCUGCUUCAAUGAACCACACCUUAUUAAAUUAAUUUCUUCAGGUGGAAGGUCUAAAAGAUAGCUCGCUAUCAACUGUAUAUGAUAGAUUUUGAAAGGAUACAAUAUGUUGGUUAUGGUCUGCUUGUC